rnacentral:lncRNA from 1 species
CGGUAAGAUCCUCUAACGCUCAAGUCAGUACUCUGCCUCAACAGAAAUGGGGCACUCGAAUGGGAUUUUAGUAGAGUUUCGAGAUAGAGUUUAGAGCUUAAAGAAGAACGUAUCUGGGGGGCCCUUUAUAUAGACGGAGAGCAUAACUGAUCGACAGCGACGUCUGUAACCGCCUGGUAGUGGGUCGUUCGGAGCCAUGCGGAGUUUGUUGUGGAGAAUAGUGGCAUCAGUGGGCCAUUCAGAGCUACGUGGAGUUUGUUAUGGAGAGUGGAGUGGUGUUCGUUAUCA